rnacentral:rRNA from 1 species
AUUGAACGCUGGCGGCAGGCCUAACACAUGCAAGUCGAACGGUAACAGGAAGCAGCUUGCUGCUUCGCUGACGAGUGGCGGACGGGUGAGUAAUGUCUGGGAAACUGUCUGAUGGAGGGGGAUAACUACUGGAAACGGUAGCUAAUACCGCAUAACGUCGCAAGACCAAAGAGGGGGACCUUAGGGCCUCUUGCCAUCUGAUGUGCCCAGAUGGGAUUAGCUAGUAGGUGGGGUAACGGCUCACCUAGGCGACGAUCCCUAGCUGGUCUGAGAGGAUGACCAGCCACACUGGAACUGAGACACGGUCCAGACUCCUACGGGAGGCAGCAGUGGGGAAUAUUGGACAAUGGGCGCAAGCCUGAUGCAGCCAUGCCGCGUGUAUGAAGAAGGCCUUCGGGUUGUAAAGUACUUUCGGCGGGGAGGAAGGGAGUAAAGUUAAUACCUUUGCUCAUUGACGUUACCCGCAGAAGAAGCACCGGCUAACUCCGUG